UGCAAAAGGGGACAAACCCAACUCUACCCAUAGAGCAGCUACCUGCAACACCCUAUGAGAAAAUAAUUCCAAAAGGGUUCAUUUGGAAGUAGGAGCAUGCAAGGUAAAACACUGAGGCAAGACAGAGAAUAAUUACUUUUCAAGAUGUUCAGGCAUUCACUGCCACUGACAUCAUUAGAAGACACUUCUGAAAUCCUGCCUUAGUCCUCAUAAAAAUUUUCUAAUUGAGUCUCGUUGUAGGGGACCCUAUAAACCGGUUGUUUUUGUGUAAAACUGUCUCACUGGCAUACUCUGUAGGCUCCAUCUGAGUCACAAUGAGGUGAAUUGCCUGAAGGUGAAGAGCAGUCUGCCUUUCCAACUGGUAGGAGCAGUUGUCUUUCUGGUGCCAAGAUAAGAAACACGUCUAUGUCCAUUUGAUAUUCUACACCCUCACUUUACUAAGAAGUGAAGAGUCCGUGUGCAAGAACAAAUGUUAAGGACAAAAUCCAAGCUGAAUACACAGUUCAGGGUGACACCAACGUUGGUAUAACCUUCCACAUGCUGAUAUUAGUUGAGAUAGGAUUUUUUGUGAACUGGAUUUCAUUUCCAGAUUGCAAUACUGUAUAUUUCCAUUUUAAAACACAAGUGAAAGGUUCACUUCUUUCCCGCUUUUCUAACAGAUACUUGCAAUAUGGACUCAGUGACACAUUAUUUUCUUCCAAUUGUACUUCAGUCAUCAUUUCACAUGUAGUGACUAAAGAUAUUGGGCACCAUAUAGCCUGGGAAUUUGUUACGGAAAAUUGGCCACUUUUAAGUCAAGGAUAUGGGCAUGAAUUAUUGCAUGAUGUACUAAAAGCCAUGGGAAGAUUUGUCAAAACAGAUGUGCAGAUCCAAGAGGUAAACCAGAGAAGCAUUUAGUCUCAACUUCAUGGCUGGUUUGUAAAUACAAGUUUUGAUUCUUAAAAGGAAUCACUGACCAUAAUGUUGAUGUCUUCCAAACCUUCAUGUUUCAAGCAGAAUCUCCACAAAUUCUAUCAAAACUGUCUCAUUUUCCUCUAUGAAAUCUGUCUGUAGAGACAACCUCUGCUGUGAUAGCUACUGAAAAUGUACCAGCAUUUGGGCAGCUGGCCUGUUAGGUUGUCACACUGACAUCUGUUUAAUUCCUCACACUGUUCAAUCACUGCUUCCCCCAAAUAUUUAUUUACUAUUCUUCACUCCUCUCUUUGUUUUUUGCCUAUUAGACUGAUGAGAAAGAUUUCUUGUUCUGUGAUUGUAGAACAGGCAGCACAAGAGGAUUCUUCCACCCAACUAGUCCUAGACAGUGUGGUACCACCAGUACCAGUGAAGUUGGCUGCAUUUGAAAGGGUUUUUAGAGGAACAGCAAAAGGGCACCUUCGUGAUAUGUAAGGAGCUUUCCCACGUUAGUGUGAAUCAGUAACCUUGCCCCACCCCCUCUUCAGUCUCUGUCAUCUGCCCCUUUUCUGUGCAGUUCUGUCUAAAGCAUCUGUCAGGCACACAGUUGCUUGCUGCAAGUGAAGUUAUGUGUGAACUAAGCCCAUGUUUAUUUCUUCAGUUGCAGGUUUUUUAUAAUGCUACUUUGGAAGAGGAUGAGAGAGAGGCUAUCACUAUGCUACUGGAAUCUGCAAAACUUGAAAAUAUUGAAAGGAGAAAACUGCUAAUCAAAAUUGCCAACUGGCUAGAGAAAAACAUAGAUGAUUGACUUGGAAAACAAUUUCCAGCAUAUUACAUGUGAUUCACUAUCAUAUUGGUAUUCAUUAUAUGCUGUAAUUAAACGUAAAGCACAUUUUUAUGAGUGCUGUGGUUGUCUUUCCACUGUAAAGUCUGGAUAAAAUGAUUCAAAAAAGAAAUCAAGGAUUUAGUAAAAGAGGGUAUAAACAUAUUUGCAUCUUAUAUCUAAAUUAAUUUGCCCCUGAAUGAGGUCUUAGGGAUGCAUUGCUAAUAAUCUAACAUAUAGAUAGAGUCUUGAAUACUUUGGGGGUUUUCUUCUGAAUAUUCAAAUGAAAGAUGUGCUGCAUAUUUGUGGCAAAAAAACAUAAGGAAGCUGAAAAAGUUUAUAUUCUGUUUUGUUUCAUUUGUACAGUGGUCUAUAACCUGUCUGUCUCCACUUCUAUGUUCUUAAAUUGCAAAGAGGACAAUAGUUUAGAACAGUUCUGUGAAACAUAAGCUUCAGAAUUACUUCAGACUUGUAUGGAGGAAAGGACUACAGAAUCCUCAAAUUGUAAUUUUAAUUAAGAAAUUGAUGCCUUGUCAUUUAAACUUUGUUUUUUCUCAGCAGAUCUGUAUUUAAGGUGUCAAACACACACACAUUUGUGUUUGAUUAGGAGAUGCUUCUGAAGAGACCCGGCUAGUCAUCUCUAUUUAGCAUGCUUCAGCCCCCAGAAUGGUCUUGGAGUGUGUGAACUGGAUUAUUUUGGAUAAAAUUUAUCUUGGAGAUGACGUGUGUGACAUUUGAUGGUCAUUUUGUCCAUGGCACCAGUGUGCAAAGUCUAGCCUAAACUAACUCUUCUGGAACAUCACUGUUCUAACUGCACUGAGGUGCUCGCUGAUCACACAAUCACUGAAUACACUGAGUCCGAAGGGACCCAUCAGAAUCACAGACUCCAACUUCCUUUGCUGUAGAUACAAGGUUAGUCACCUUGAUUACAUAACAUUUUGGAGGUGACAGGCAGAAUUCAGCCCAUUAGAAUUAGCAAACCAUAAUAACUUGUGCUUAAAAAAAUCAUGGGAUCCUCAGUCCAUGCAAAUAAUUUAUUUGUAGGGUAACAGUAUUGUGACAAAAUUACAGUACUGAUGAUCAGUUAACAUGUUAUGGAUCAGGAAACACUGUUACAUGGGAAUGCAGGAGACAAAAUAAAUCAGAAUACUGAUCUAUGAAAAGACAAGAGUAAACUCCACACAUGUUAAUACAAAGGAUUUUUCACUGGUACCCUCUAAAUACAUUUAGGAAAAAUGCUGCCAUGAUGACUGUACU
rnacentral:lncRNA from 14 species